CAGAGUUUCUAGAGAUCAUUUCUGUGUGCACUUAACUCCUUCUUUUACAGAUACCAUAGUUUCUAGAGAUCAUUUCUGUGUGCACUUAACUCCUUCUUUUACAGAUACCAGUUUCUAGAGAUCAUUCCUGUGUGCACUUGACACCUUCUUUUACAGAUACCAGAGUUUCUAGAGAUCAUUCCUGUGUGCACUUAACUCCUUCUUUUACAGAUACCAGAGUUUCUAGAGAUCAUUUCUGUGUGCACUUAACUCCUUCUUUUACAGAUACCAGAGUUUCUAGAGAUCAUUUCUGUGUGCACUUAACUCCUUCUUUUACAGAUACCAGUUUCUAGAGAUCAUUCCUGUGUGCACUUGACUCCUUCUUUUACAGAUACCAGAGUUUCUAGAGAUCAUUCCUGUGUGCACUUAACUCCUUCUUUUACAGAUACCAGCGUUUCUUGAGAUCAUUCCUGUGUGCACUUUACUCCUUCUUUUAUAGAUACCAGCGUUUCUAGAGAUCAUUCCUGUGUGCAUUUUAUGUUGCUUUGUAUCUGGAACCCUUUAUCUAACAUCGAAUAUCCUUAAAACCCUUUAUCUAACAUUUAAUAUCCUUAAAACCCUUUAUCUAACAUCGAAUGUCCUUUAUACUACAAGUGUGUGAAAACAAUCGCAGUACAUACUAGAAUUUAGGGAUUUUUGUCACUCGUUUUAUACAUAUGGCAAAAUCCUAGGUACUUUAUUCAUAUGAUUUGCACCACGUGACUUUGGCCCUUUUGAUUUAAUUACUCCCCUUAGUUGUAGAUUGAAAAUAUAAAUUAUAUCAAAUUUGCGGAUAUUCCAGUCUUUUUCCGUUUUGGAUCUAAAACUAACGUGUCUUUGAAAACUUCCUUUGGCGGAUAUUUACAAAUAUUUUGUGUAAUUUGAAGGACAAAUGAUUAAAAUUUGAUUAUUUACGGAAUGGGGAGGAUGAAAUUAUCACGUUUUUAAAAGAAUUUGGCCGAAAACUUAAGACAGCAGGUGAGCUAAAGUUAUUUAACCUGAAAAUUCAACCGGCAAGGUGUUUCCCUACAUGCGGACAAAUCAUGAACAAUGCCUUCUUGUAUCUUUAUUUCUAUUUUGGAUCUUGCUUUUUCACGAAAAAUCGUUAUAUCAGAUAGCAAUUAUACUACGGUUACGCUUCCGAUUUUCAAACUGAAAAGGCCGAAAGUUGUCAAAGUAGACAAUGUUCAUUUGUACACGAACAGAAGGCAAACAAAAUGUACAAUUCACCUAUAUGCGGACAAAUUAUUCGACUUGGGAAUUUGCAUAUUUGCAUUUUUAUUUUAUGGGCAUAUAUAAUCAUAUUGUAAUGGCUGCCGUCAUAAUAAGUCAAUAUGGCCGCUAUGCAAAUUAGCAAAGUACCCCAAAUUUUGCCAUAUGAUGUGCUGAUUUCAUGAGAUUGUUUAUAUCUUUGUUCUUUUUGUGUUUUAGUUUUGUACCGACUUAAUUUAUAUAAGAUUUCGACUUUUUAACAUUUUACAUUCUUCAAUUCUUUAUACUAAUAUACUGAAAUACGCGCAGUUCCUGUACACAAUAAAGUUCUUUGAUAUUCAGAGGCCCACGACUAAAGCUCCCAUUUCCUUAAUAACACAAGAAACCUUAUAUCAAUGAAAACCAUGGAACCUUCUCUUACACGCACAUACCGUUGUUAUUCUUCCAUAUUUUUACAAGACAAAACCUUAAAGUUAUACUGUUUCAAUUGUUCAAACUUCCAUUGCUCUUCUUAGAUAUGAUCAUUCAUAGAUUGGAGGCGGCUUCAAUGUUAAUAUUGUUUUAAGGUUAAUAGCAACUACAAAUCAGGAAUAGUAAUAGACAAUAUUAAACCAACAGCAGUUGGUGUGUAAGAGAAAUCCCAACUAGAAAAAGUAGGAUUAAAUAUACAAGACAGAAAUGUCAGAAGCCAAGUAAGAGUCAGAUUCAACUGAAUCGUACCAAAAUUCUGGUACCCAUGGUACCUUCGUCAAUCAAUGUCAGGAGACCAGGGUACCAGUUUGAGUGGUUUGUACCAGAUAUUGAUAGAAAAACGCCCUGUAUAACUGGUAUAACCAUAUCCUGAAAAGUUUUAAAUUUGAAAAAUCAUUAUAUACAAUCUGUUUCGGGGUAGCUUUUUGUUUAUAUGUCUACUAACUUGUCUGAUAACCUGACCUGGCACUGAAGAUGGCAGCCAUGUGCCGGUCGAAAAAUUACUUCUAUUCAAGUUUGAUUUUUCAAGACUAAUACGAUGACUCAGACAAUAAAAUAACAUGACCACAGUGUGUACAUGUAAAUAGAAAGAUUCAAAACAAUGUUUAAACCUAUUUCAGACUAAUGGGGAUUGGCCCUAUACAAAAACUUGCAAACCUGCCUUAUCAUUAUGAUGGAAUUUAUUACAAAACGGAAGAAGUUCGAAUGUUUUUAUACCAUAUUAACAUUUAGAAUGACCGUUAUUUAUCGUCCCGUCGAAGAUCCCGUAUUGUCGUACAAAGGACCGUCUAGAGCCUCAUGAUUUAAAAAACUCAGACAGACACCUUACAUCGUACAAUUAACACGUUAUUCAAUCUUUGACCUAUCAAAGACGUAUCAAAAACUGGUUGUGAUGUGUUCUUUAAGAUAAACUCUACACUAUCGCUUUAAUCAUUCCUCAAUGUAAUGGAAUAAACGAAUAAAGAUAUCGAAAAUUGGACUGAUAAACGGAAUUCGAUAGUCUGAUUUUUUAUACUUUAUAUGAAGAGACGAUCGUAUGGGUUUUUCAACAUUCUUACGGGUAUUCAUUUCAUUUGUAUAGGUUCAAUUGUUUAAAACAUAUUCGUGAUGUAAAUGUAAAACUGCAGAUAAACCUAAUAAAAGGCCUUUUGAUUUAUGAGCCGUAGCCUUUUUAACUUGGGUAUUUAACGAAGAUACUCCGAUAUUACUUUUGGAGGACUACUGUAAAAUCAGGGAGAAAAUUUUGGCGUGGAUCUAAAUAAAACAUGAUCGUUUUUUUUAUUGAUAUUUCAUAAAAACUUCUGUCGCUGGAACAGUUUGAACUUACUGCUCCCUUGAUUAAACCACAAUCUUGGUCACUGCCUGGGAAUAGUAUAUUAACGUCAAUGUAUUAUGUCCCAGGUCACUGCAUACUUUUUUUUUACUGAACCCGGAAAUGUAAUACUGCAAAUCAAGGAAACAAUUUGAAAAUCAAGAAGAAAGAGAAGCCAUAAUAAAUUAUAGUCUAAUGCUUUGGCUAAUAAUGUUUUAAACCUAUAGAUUUAAAGAUUUAAGGACAAAUUAUCACAUUAUUGUACAUUAUGUAGAACUUUACGGAAGUAGGGCUGUAAUCCCUAAAAGUUAUUUAUAAAUGGUACAACUAAUCUUAUACCUCAUUCAAACUCAUAAAUAUUUCUAUAAAGAAUAAAAAAAAACAGUUAGAAUUACUUUUCUACUGAACCAGAUCCGAUUUAUUUCAAAAUGGGUGGACGAUUCAUAGUAGUGGUGAACAAGUAGGCAAAUGGGAAAAAAAAGUUUUCCCAUGUGGUAUUCUCCUUUCGGAACCUUUUAUGCCAUUGUAUAAGUACCACUCCGUACAUGCAAACAUAAUUUUACAAACGCCCCUAAUUUUACAUUUCCCAUGCAAACGAAACAUGCAACUGAAAUGAUUGCCAACAAUUAGAAAAGAUAAUGUUCUACCUGAAUUCCAUGAGGUCGUUACAUAUGAAUAAGUUCACCAUUAAGUCAAAUAAAACUUUAAAAUUUUAAUGAUACAUAAUAACGUAAAACAAGGCAGCAAUUACUAAGUUCUUCUCGAAUUAAAUUCCCUAUAAUGACUAGAUUAUCACAGAAAAUUUGUAUAGUUAGAAAAAUAAUUGAUCUUAAAGUUACAAGCUAAUUAAGACAGUAAUAUAGAAAAAGGUCAUACUAGAACGAAAGAAAGGGAGUGUUAAGGUCAUACAAGCACGAAUAGACUGAAUGCUGGAAGGAACGAGACAAAAUAGGGGAUAAGGUCAUACAAGAACGAAUAGAUCGAAUGCUAGAAGGAACAGGACAAAAUAGGGGAUAAGGUCAUACAAGAACGAAUAAAUCAAAUGCUAGAAGGAACAGGACAAAAUAGGGGAUAUGUUCAUACAAGAACAAAUAGAUCGAAUGCUAGAAGGAACAGGACAAAAUAGGGGACAAGUUCAUACAAGAACGAAUAGAUCGAAUGCUAGAAGGAACAGGACACAAUAUGGGAAAAUGUCAUACAAGAACAAAUAAAUCGAAUGCUAGAAGGAACAGGACAAAAUAAGGGAUAAGUUCAUACAAGAACGAAUAUAUCGAAUGCUAGAAGGAACAGGACAAAAUAGGGGAUACGUUCAUACAAGAACAAAUAGAUCGAAUGCUAGAAGGAACAGGACAGAAUAAGGGAUAAGUUCAUACAAGAACGAAUAGAUCGAAUGCUAGAAGGAACAGGACAAAAUAGGGGAUACGUUCAUACAAGAACAAAUAGAUCGAAUGCUAGAAGGAACAGGACAAAACAGGGGAUAUCUCAUACAAGAACGAAUAGAUCGAAUGCUAGAAGAAACAGGACAAAAUAGGGGACAAGUUCAUACAAGAACGAAUAGAUCGAAUGCUAGAAGGAACAGGACACAAUAUGGGAAAAUGUCAUACAAGAACAAAUAGAUCGAAUGCUAGAAGGAACAGGACAAAAUAAGGGAUAAGUUCAUACAAGAACGAAUAUAAUCGAAUGCUAGAAGGAACAGGACAAAAUAGGGGAUACGUUCAUACAAGAACAAAUAGAUCGAAUGCUAGAAGAAACAGGACAAAAUAAAUAUAAGUUAGACUAAAUGUAUCACCUAUAGCUUCUUACUGAUAUAAACUAGUGACGUGCAUGUUCAUUCCUUUUUAAAGUAGAAUUGAACCAUUCUGAAAGCAUUACAAUUCUUAAAAUACUUAAAAGCAAUUUUGACCUUUGAUUUGAAUUAUCGAGAAUAGAAGUAAUCGGGUUUUUUUUUAAUUUAGACUUGUGUAUUCCCUAUAGCUAUAUAAUUUGGACAUAUGGCUUCUAGAUUUGACAAUAAAAGCUCCAGUAUGUCACAUUUAAUUAAACGGUUGGUAUUGACAUUGGAAAUAACCUAUAUAUACUCUAAGUUGAAUAACUAAAGUAAAAUUUAGAAAACUUUAUCAUCUUUCAAGCAUAAAAAAGGAGAAAGGAACCACUACAUAUGACAGAAGAUGAAAUCAGAUUUUUUUUGCAAACAAAGCGGUCUUCUGGAUUAACUAGUAGGAAUGUUCAGAAUCAUUAGUUUGGUAAGCAAAGAAAGAGUAAACAGACCAUGUUUCGAAAAACAAAGCCAAAGGACCUAAAGAAAAGAGUCAAUUAACUGUCUAAGCUAUCCUUUCCAGUAAAUGGAAGCUCAAAUGCUAAUGACUAUUGUUCUGCAUAACAUUUUCGUGUGGUUAUAUUACCAUCGUAAAAAAGUUACAUAUUCUUUGGCGUAAAAAGAUGUCAACACUGUUAAAAAACACGACGAUGGAAUGAUAUUGUUAUCUGAAAAUACCGUAUGAGGAUACAUAAACCUAUCAGGCGCACUUGUUUAUGAACCCAUUUUGUUUCUAUCAUAGAAUUGUGUGGUUUUGGUAGAGAUGAUUUUGCUCUCAUGUGUACUUGAAGUAUAGUGACCUUUAUCAAAUUCUGCUUUCGCUUUAUUUCAGCUUCUAAUUAUCAUUCCCAUGAACCAAAGUUUUGGAGGGGGUAGUGACGUUGCCAUCCGUCCUUUAUAAUCUAUUUUGUGAACACCGUAGAGGCUCUUGAUUGCACUGAUUUAUUCUAUUACUUGUCACGGACUAUAACUGUGGCAAAUGCUUGUUGGAACCGUCGAACUCCUGGAUUGCAAAAGGCAAAACUGUAAGAAGAAAAAACAUUCAAAUUAUGUCAAUAUAUGAGGGGUUGCUCCAAUAUGGUUUUUGUCUAUAUAUUUUUGAUAAUUUCAGUUUAGAUCGGCAUGAUGGUGAGGUGAAGGGAAACUGGUGAAUUAUUAAUCAAAAUGUAUAUGUUUUAACAAUAAAGUGUACAACAGAAAAAUCACCGUGA